rfam:Myotis lucifugus cont2.14146, whole genome shotgun sequence.
GGCGGUACUUGGGUGACACACCCUGGAAUCGGGCUCCCUUCUCUCUGUUUCCAGGGUGCGUCACCCAAGAACCGCC